rnacentral:rRNA from 1 species
UACGUAGGGGGCAAGCGUUGUCCGGAUUUAUUGGGCGUAAAGAGCGUGUAGGCGGUCAGGUAGGUCCGUUGUGAAAACUCGAGGCUCAACCUCGAGACGCCGAUGGAAACCAUCUGACUAGAGUCCGGAAGAGGAGAGUGGAAUUCCUGGUGGUAGCGGUGAAAUGCGCAGAUAUCAGGAAGAACACCCGUGGCUAAGGCGGCUCUCUAGUACGGUACUGACGCUGAGACGCGAAAAGCGUGGGGGAGC